rnacentral:rRNA from 1 species
GAUGAACGCUGGCGGCGUGCCUAAUACAUGCAAGUCGAGCGAACAGACGAGGAGCUUGCUCCUCUGACGUUAGCGGCGGACGGGUGAGUAACACGUGGAUAACCUACCUAUAAGACUGGGAUAACUUCGGGAAACCGGAGCUAAUACCGGAUAAUAUAUUGAACCGCAUGGUUCAAUAGUGAAAGACGGUUUUGCUGUCACUUAUAGAUGGAUCCGCGCCGCAUUAGCUAGUUGGUAAGGUGACGGCUUACCAAGGCAACGAUGCGUAGCCGACCUGAGAGGGUGAUCGGCCACACUGGAACUGAGACACGGUCCAGACUCCUACGGGAGGCAGCAGUAGGGAAUCUUCCGCAAAGGGCGAAAGCCUGACGGAGCAACGCCGCGUGAGUGAUGAAGGUCUUCGGAUCGUAAAACUCUGUUAUUAGGGAAGAACAAAUGUGUAAGUAACUAUGCACGUCUUGACGGUACCUAAUCAGAAAGCCACGGCUAACUACGUG